UACGAAGGGGGCUAGCGUUACUCGGAAUUACUGGGCGUAAAGGGUUCGUAGGUGGCCUGCUAAGUCGGACGUGAAAUCCCUCGGCUACAACCGGGGAACUGCGUCCGAUACUGGUGGGCUCGAGUGCAGGAGAGGAACGCGGAAUUCCAGGUGUAGCGGUGAAAUGACGUAGAUAUCUGGAGGAACACCGGUGGCGAAGGCGGCGUUCUGGACUGCAACUGACACUGAGGAACGAAAGCCAGGGGAGCAAACGGG
rnacentral:rRNA from 1 species